rfam:Porphyrobacter sp. HL-46 ITZ_scaf_3364, whole genome shotgun sequence.
CACCCAUCCCCGGGGAGCGCGCUUGCGCUGAGAGGUGGGUGUAAGCACCCCACGACCCGUCGAACCUGAACCGAUUAGCAUCGGCGGAGGGAGUGGGCUGGUCGUUUGAAC